GGUGUGAUAAACUGGCCUCUGAGAAGUCAGAGAUGCAGCGGCACUAUAUCAUGUACUACGAAAUGUCCUAUGGGCUGAACAUUGAAAUGCACAAACAGGCAGAAAUAGUGAAGAGACUGAAUGGGAUUUGUGCUCAGGUGCUGCCUUACCUGUCUCAGGAG